AACGUGAGGGGCGCACGUUGUCCGGAAUCACUGGGCGUAAAGGGUACGCAGGCGGUGGAGAAAGUCGGGUGUGAAAGCCUCAGGCUUAACCUGAGGGGGACGCUUGAUACUUCUCCACUUGAGGAAGGGAGAGGGAGGUGGAAUUCCCGGUGUAGCGGUGAAAUGCGCAGAUAUCGGGAGGAAAACCAGUGGCGAAGGCGGCCUCCUAUCCCUUUCCUGACGAUCAGGUACGAAAGCUAGGGGAGCGAACCGG
rnacentral:rRNA from 1 species